GACGGGGGAGGCAAGCGUUAUCCGGAAUCACUGGGCGUAAAGCGUCUGUAGGUGGUUAUGCAAGUCACUGGUGCAAAACUCGGGCUCAACCGGAGGAAAGCCAGUGAUACUGCAUGACUAGAGUGUGGGAGAGGUAGAAGGAAUUCCCUGAGUAGCGGUGAAAUGCGUAGAUACAGGGAAGAACACCGGAGGCGAAAGCGUUCCACUGGAACACAACUGACACUGAGGGACGAAAGCUAGGGGAGCGAAUGGG
rnacentral:rRNA from 1 species